GUCAGGAUGGCCGAGCGGUCUAAGGCGCCAGACUCAAGGUUAAACACCUUCCCAGUGCACAUUGGGAGCGGGCGUUCUGGUCUCCGAAUGGAGGCGUGGGUUCGAAUCCCACUUCUGACA